UACGGAGGGGGCUAGCGUUGUUCGGAAUUACUGGGCGUAAAGCGCACGUAGGCGGCUUUGUAAGUUAGAGGUGAAAGCCCGGGGCUCAACUCCGGAAUUGCCUUUAAGACUGCAUCGCUAGAAUUGUGGAGAGGUAAGUGGAAUUCCGAGUGUAGAGGUGAAAUUCGUAGAUAUUCGGAAGAACACCAGAGGCGAAGGCGGCUACCUGGACAAUUGCUGACGCUCAGGCACGAAAGCGUGGGGAGCAAAAGGG
rnacentral:rRNA from 1 species